rnacentral:rRNA from 1 species
CCUACGGGUGGCAGCAGUGGGGAAUAUUGGACAAUGGGCGAAAGCCUGAUCCAGCCAUGCCGCGUGUGUGAAGAAGGCCUUCGGGUUGUAAAGCACUUUCAGUGGGGAAGAAAGCCUUGGGGCUAAUACCCUCGAGGAAGGACAUCACCCACAGAAGAAGCACCGGCUAACUCCGUGCCAGCAGCCGCGGUAAUACGGAGGGUGCGAGCGUUAAUCGGAAUUACUGGGCGUAAAGCGCGCGUAGGCGGUCUGAUAAGCCGGUUGUGAAAGCCCCGGGCUCAACCUGGGAACGGCAUCCGGAACUGGCAGGCUAGAGUGAAGGAGAGGAAGGUAGAAUUCCCGGUGUAGCGGUGAAAUGCGUAGAGAUCGGGAGGAAUACCAGUGGCGAAGGCGGCCUUCUGGACUGACACUGACGCUGAGGUGCGAAAGCGUGGGUAGCAAACAGGAUUAGAUACCCUAGUAGUC